rnacentral:lncRNA from 1 species
GUUUUUUUUUUAAUUUUUAGAAACGGAAGCAACUACAAAAGGAGAGGGAUGUUGGAUCAAAGAGAAGACAUGAGGAAGAUGAGAUCCAAGACGACAAUCAAGUUGACCUUCAGAUAGAGAUUUCCACAGCAACAACUCUACCCUCUUCCCAACCAGAUAGCUCCAGUCCACAUGCACCCCCACCACCACCAUAGAUGCCACCACCACCAUUACCAC